AACAAUUUGCGCUCCGCUGGGAAAUAAUUAACAAUGCCUGUCAGAAUCGGCAAAGAAGCGAUCUCAAAAGAAGAAUGUGUCUGGUACGGUGAAAGUCGGCCUGAAUACCGAAAAGAAUGUUGACCUGGAUACCAAAAUAAAUGGUAACACAGGAAUACCCAUGGCAUGAAUCCCGCUCAUCAGUCUGAAUAUUGAACAUCAGAAUAUGAGAGUAUUAAUGUCGAUCUGAAUAUCGGAGAUCUGGACUCAACGC
rnacentral:lncRNA from 1 species